CGGGACGGGUGAGUAAUGUCGGGGAAACUGCCCGAUGGGAGGGGAUAACUACUGGAAACGGUAGCUAAUACCGCAUAACGUCGCAAGACCAAAGAGGGGGACCUUCGGGCCUCUUGCCAUCGGAUGUGCCCAGAUGGGAUUAGCUAGUAGGUGGGGUAACGGCUCACCUAGGCGACGAUCCCUAGCUGGUCUGAGAGGAUGACCAGCCACACUGGAACUGAGACACGGUCCAG
rnacentral:rRNA from 1 species